rnacentral:tRNA from 1 species
UGUUCUGUGGCUCAAUUGGUUAAAACGCCUGCCUAACGAUGUAGAGUCGUGGGUUCGAAUCCCAUCAAAACAA